rnacentral:piRNA from 1 species
UUCUCCUACUCUGCCGGAUCACAGGCUCC